AGACCUUCGUGAAAUCAUCUCUGAGUUGAACUACCGCCCCCUAAUUCGGGUCAAGUGGGCCCACAAGAAGAAGAGAUCUGCGCUCUCUGUACGACCCAAGUCGUCGAAGUCGACUGUGGUUCGGUCUGGUUUGCCACCGUUUUCCGGGAAUCCCGGGUCGGCGAAUAAGGUUGUCAGGCUUGAGAGGUCCAAAGUGGUGACCGGUUGUAAGAGGAGAGGAGAAGAAUGGCUGAAGGUCAUUGAUGGGUUAGUGAAGGGCGGAAAAUUGCUACAAAUAUGAAGAUGACACGACAAUUUCUCUCUGAACCAACUAAAACAGGAGAUACAGAACACGAAGGAUUGUAUUGGUUUUAAUGUGGUAUUGCAAUCAAGGAAGCUUGAGGUGCAACUCCAUUCCUUACAGCAGUUGAACUUCAUAUACAAUGCGGUAAGUCAAAAUUCCUGUCCAGUUUGUAGACAAAUAACAAUAUUGAGUCCCUAGUAUAAUGUCAAGCCACCAGAAUUUUAUGGUUUUAUUGCCUGCAUAUAUGCAUACCAAUCUUUAUCUGUCAUAAAAGAAAGUGCUGAAUAAUAAAUCUAAAUUAGUUAAGAGUUUGGGAAAAGAUUUUUUUCACUUUAUCUUGCGUUAUUUGUCUUCUUCUAAUUGCUUAGCCACAAUGUAGACGAAAACAAAGAGAUGUGACAUGAUCAGAAAACAUGACAAAAUUCAUGAUGCAGAAAGCAGCAUUUGUUGUUCAAUCUUCAACAUUAGGAGCUUUAUAAAAGAAUAGGUGUAUUUCAUUUUCAAUUAGUCUUUCUGAAGUCAUAUAGGUUUAAAAUUUCCUAUACAUGUAGCUGCAGCUUUAUUUCUUACAGCAGGAGAACUUCAUAUACAAUGCGUACUCGUGGGUGCUCUCCUUUAAAGCUACAAAGUCACCGAGCUGCCAGAUUCCGUGGGAAAUUAGAGACAUCUUUGAUACCUUGAUCAUUCUCACACACUAAUACUGAGCUUGCCUGAGUCAAGAUGCAUGAUUUACAACUUACCGACGUUAAUGUUAGGUUAUUGUUCAAAUUUGAAGACGAUUCCUUCAAACAUGAGCAGUUUAUCUAAUUUACAUCAUCUCCAGAAUGUAAGCAUGCCUUCGAUGGAAAAACGCCUCCCCAAGUAGAUCAGUUGACUCAUCUGCAAACUAUGCUCAACUUUGUGGUGGGAAAAAUGUAGUGCAGCGGCGAUUGGAUAGAUAGGUUCAUUUCAUCUCUGUGGAACCAUGAGACUCAGAAGAUUGGAAAUUGAAAUAGAUGUUGAGGAUGCAAAGAAGGCCCAAUAAUUAUUAAGGAAGGGUUGGAUACCUUGGAAUUGGAAUGGAGUGGCACAAGUGAGAAGGAGUUAGAGGUGCUCUGCAGCCUAGAACCUCGUAAAUAACUUACAGAGCUCUGUUAUAUGAGCUACAAUUGUUUAGAAUUCUGAAAAUGUAUUGGACGUCCUUCAUUCUCUGACAUGACGUUUGGCGAAUUGUGAAAAUUGUUGAUUCUUAAUUUUCUUGGCUAAUUAUCUUGUUUGAAACAGGUU